GGCUACUUGGCGCAAUGGUAGCGCGUUUGGCUUCGAUCGCCAUUCGGGUACCAAAAGGUAGAAGGUUCGAGUCCUGCAGUGGUCA
rfam:Postia placenta Mad-698-R POSPLscaffold_8_Cont714, whole genome shotgun sequence.